CUGGCCAGGUGUGUCCCUCGCAGCCCAAGGUGGUGUGGCUGAAGAACCAGGUGGCCAUCGGGGAGGACCCCAAAUUCCUGGCCAGGCACAGCCAGGGGGUCCUGACGCUGCUGAUCCGCAAGCCGGGACCCUUCGACGGCGGCACCUACACCUGCAGGGCUGUCAACGAGCUGGGCGAGGCCCUGACCGAGUGUCGGCUCGAGAUUCGGGUGCCUCAGUGAUGGUGACAAAAAAAUGCCCAGCACCAUCGUGCACGGCCGGGAGAAGGA